UAAAUGUAUGGGGGUCUGCCCGAUAGAGGGGGAUAACUACUGGAAACGGUGGCUAAUACCGCAUAAUGUCUACGGACCAAAGCAGGGGCUCUUCGGACCUUGCACUAUCGGAUGAACCCAUAUGGGAUUAGCUAGUAGGUGGGGUAAAGGCUCACCUAGGCGACGAUCUCUAGCUGGUCUGAGAGGAUGAUCAGCCACACUGGGACUGAGACACGGCCCAG
rnacentral:rRNA from 1 species